rnacentral:pre_miRNA from 1 species
GCUACAUUGAGGAGUGGUAACUCCACCACCGUUGGCGUAUGAAAUAAAUCGCCAACGGUUGAGGAGUUCCUUGGCCUCGAGGGCAU